UACGUAGGGUGCGAGCGUUGUCCGGAAUUAUUGGGCGUAAAGGGCUCGUAGGCGGUUUGUCGCGUCGGGAGUGAAAACCUUGGGCUUAACUCAGGGCUUGCUUUCGAUACGGGCAGACUAGAGGUAUGCAGGGGAGAACGGAAUUCCUGGUGUAGCGGUGAAAUGCGCAGAUAUCAGGAGGAACACCGGUGGCGAAGGCGGUUAGCUGGGCAGUUGCUGACACUGAGGCGCGACAGCGUGGGGAGCAAACAGG
rnacentral:rRNA from 1 species